rnacentral:rRNA from 1 species
GACAGAGGGUGCAAACGUUGCUCGGAAUCACUGGGCGUAAAGGGCGUGUAGGCGGGAAGGAAAGUCAGAUGUGAAAUCCCUGGGCUCAACCCAGGAACUGCAUUUGAAACUCCCUUUCUUGAGUGUCGGAGAGGAAAGCGGAAUUCCUGGUGUAGAGGUGAAAUUCGUAGAUAUCAGGAGGAACACCGGUGGCGAAGGCGGCUUUCUGGACGACAACUGACGCUGAGACGCGAAAGCGUGGGUAGCAAACAGG